AACGAACGCUGGCGGCAGGCCUAACACAUGCAAGUCGAACGCCCCGCAAGGGGAGUGGCAGACGGGUGAGUAACACGUGGGAACGUACCCUUCGGUUCGGAAUAACACAGAGAAAUUUGUGCUAAUACCGGAUACGUCCGAGAGGAGAAAGAUUUAUCGCCGAUGGAUCGGCCCGCGUCUGAUUAGCUUGUUGGUGAGGUAACGGCUCACCAAGGCGACGAUCAGUAGCUGGUCUGAGAGGAUGAUCAGCCACACUGGGACUGAGACACGGCCCAGACUCCUGCGGGAGGCAGCAGUGGGGAAUAUUGGACAAUGGGGGAAACCCUGAUCCAGCCAUGCCGCGUGAGUGAUGGAGGCCCUAGGGUUGUAAAGCUCUUUUACCUGGGAAGAUAAUGACUGUACCAGGAGAAUAAGCCCCGGCUAACUUCGUGCCAGCCGCCGCCGUAAAAC
rnacentral:rRNA from 1 species